UCCAACCACACCUCCUGGACCUUGUGCUGCAGUGAGGACCAUCUCGUCUUCCAGAGAAACCGGACGGAUGUGGUUUCGUUUCGCCAGAAACGCGUUCGCCCCUCCGAUGACGUCACUCGGGGGCCAGUGCACCUGUGAGUGCGCGAGAGGAGCUGCGCAUUUGAUCGCAGACAGCAGCACGCAUCUGAUCUCUUUGUCACUGCGCAAGGCAUUAAGCUCAUUUAUUCCGUAAACAACGUGAAAUCAGUUUGCUCGCGAUGGACGGGUGUGCGCAGAUGUGCAAAUGUUUUCUGAUCCUGUUCAACAUCCUGUUCGCUCUGGUGGGGCUCGGUCUCGA